CGCGGAUGCUCCCGGGUAGCGGCGGCGGUGGCGGGGCCAUGGCGACCCCGGACAGCUGCGUCAAGGUGGCCGUGAGGAUCCGUCCCCAGCUGCCCAAAGAGAAGAUAGAGGGAUGUCACAUCUGCACCUCGGUGACACCUGGCGAGCCCCAGGUGCUGCUGGGGAAGGACAAGGCCUUCACCUACGACUUUGUCUUUGACCUGGACACGUGGCAGGAGCGGAUCUACACCACCUGCAUGGGGAAGCUCAUCGAGGGCUGCUUUGAGGGCUACAAUGCCACAGUGCUGGCAUACGGGCAGACUGGCGCGGGGAAGACGUACACCAUGGGCACUGGCUUCGACAUGAGCAUCUCCGAGGAGGAGCAGGGCAUCAUCCCGCGGGCCAUCGGCCACCUCUUCAGCGGCAUCGAGGAGCGCAAGCGCGCGGCUCAGAGCCAGGGCGUGGCAGCACCCGAGUUCAAAGUCAGCGCCCAGUUCCUGGAGCUCUACAAUGAGGAGAUCCUGGACCUGUUCGACAGCGCCCGCGACCCUGACGCGCGGCACCGCAAAUCCAACAUCAAAAUCCACGAGGAUGCCAGUGGGAGCAUCUACACCACGGGGGUCACGUCGCGCCUCAUCAGCUCGCAGGACGAGCUGAUCCAGUGCCUAAAACAGGGAGCUCUUUCCCGUACCACCGCCAGCACCCAGAUGAACGUGCAGAGCUCCCGGUCCCACGCCAUCUUCACCAUUCACCUGUGCCAGACGAGAGUGUGUGCCCGCCCAGAGCUGGUGAACGGGGAGGUGACCGGCCUCCUGGAUGGAUCCCAACCCGCCACCGAGUACGAGACCUUGACAGCCAAGUUUCACUUUGUGGACCUGGCUGGCUCGGAGAGGCUGAAGCGGACGGGAGCAACCGGCGAGAGGGCGAAGGAAGGGAUCUCCAUCAACUGCGGGCUGCUGGCCUUGGGGAACGUCAUCAGUGCCCUCGGAGACCAGAGCAAGAAAGUCGUGCACGUGCCCUACCGCGACUCCAAGCUCACCCGCCUGCUGCAGGAUUCCCUUGGGGGCAACAGCCAAACCAUCAUGAUUGCCUGUGUGAGCCCCUCUGACCGGGACUUCAUGGAGACCCUGAACACGCUCAAAUACGCCAACCGGGCUCGCAACAUCAAGAACAAAGUGGUGGUGAACCAGGACAAGACAAGCCAGCAGAUCAGUGCCCUGCGGGCUGAGAUCGCCCGCCUGCAGAUGGAACUGAUGGAGUACAAGGCAGGCAAGCGAGUCAUCGGGGAGGACGGCGCAGAGGGGUACAGCGACCUGUUCCGCGAGAACACCAUGCUGCAGAAGGAGAACAGCGCCCUGCGCAUGAGGGUGAAGGCCAUGCAGGAGGCCAUCGAUGCCAUCAACAGCAGGGUCACCUACCUCAUGAGCCAGGAGGCCAACCUGAUGCUGGCCAAGGCAGGGGAUGGUAACGAAGCCAUCGGCACCCUCAUCCAGAACUACAUCCGGGAGAUUGAAGAGCUGAGAACGAAGCUUCUGGAGAGCGAGUCCAUGAACGAGUCCCUGCGCCGCAGCCUGUCCCGAGCCUCUGCCCGGCCCCCCUACUCCAUGGGCUCCUCCCCAGCUGCUGGCCUGGCAGGUCUGUGCAGCCCCGCCGUGCCAGUGGAUUCAGAGGCCUCUGAUGUCCUCCGACGGGCCAAGCAGGACCUGGAGCGCCUGAAAAAGAAGGAGCGGAGGCAGCAGAGGAAGAGCCCAGAGAAGGAGGCGUUAAGGAAGCAGCAGAAACUGCAGCAGGACAACGGGGAGGAGACGGAUGAGAACGAGGUGGAAGAGGAGGAGGAGGAGCAGGAUGAGAGUGGCUGUGAGGAAGAGGAUGGGCGCGAGGAUGAAGAUGAGGACUCGGGCAGUGAAGAGAGCCUGGUGGACUCAGACUCGGAUGCAGAGGAGAAGGCUGUGAAUUUCCAGGCUGAUCUGGCAGAUCUGACCUGUGAGAUUGAGAUCAAGCAGAAGCUGAUUGAUGAGCUGGAGAACAGCCAGCGGCGCUUGCAGACCCUCAAGCAUCAGUAUGAGGAGAAGCUGAUCCUACUGCAGAACAAGAUUCGGGACACGCAGCUGGAGCGGGACCGGGUCCUGCAAAACCUCAGCACCAUGGAGUGUUACACAGAGGAGAAAGCCAACAAGAUCAAAGCAGACUAUGAGAAGCGGCUGAAGGAGAUGAACCGGGACCUGCAGAAGCUCCAGGCAGCCCAGAAGGAGCACGCUCGCCUGCUCAAGAACCAGUCCCGCUACGAGCGGGAGCUGCGGAAGCUGCAGGCAGAGGUGGCCGAGAUGAAGAAGGCAAAGGUCGCGCUGAUGAAGCAGAUGCGGGAGGAGCAGCAGCGGCGGCGGCUGGUGGAGACCAAGAGGAACCGGGAGAUUGCACAGCUCAAGAAGGAGCAGCGCCGGCAGGAGUUCCAGAUCAGGGCUCUGGAGUCUCAGAAGCGGCAACAGGAAAUAGUGCUGCGGAGGAAAACCCAGGAGGUGUCAGCACUGCGCCGUCUGGCCAAGCCCAUGUCAGACCGGGUGGCGGGCAGGACGAGCCAGAAGCCGGCUAUGCUGGACUCGGGCGCAGAGGUCUCGGCCAGCACCACCUCCUCCGAGCCCGAGUCCGGCGCUCGCUCCGUCUCCAGCAUCGUGCGCCAGUGGAACAGGAAAAUCAACAACUUCCUGGGAGACACCUCGUCCUCUGUGAACGGGGCUCGGCCUGCCAGGAAGAAGUUCCCCAAGAAGGGCUCAAGCCAGACCUUCAGCAAAGCCGCCCGCCUCAAGUGGCAGUCGCUGGAGCGGCGCAUCUUCGACAUCGUCAUGCAGAGGAUGACCAUCGUCAACCUCGAGGCGGACAUGGAGAGGCUCAUCAAGAAACGCGAGGAGCUGUCACUGCUGCAGGAGGCGUUGCUGGGCAAGCGGGCGAAGCUGCAGGCAGAGAGCCCCAUGGAGCAGAAAGGGCUGCAAGAGCUGAAUGAGGAGAUUGAGGUGCUGGGGGCCAACAUUGACUACAUCAACGACAGCAUUUCAGACUGCCAGGCCACCAUCAUGCAGAUUGAGGAGACCAAGGAGGAGCUGGACUCCACGGACACCUCGGUGGUGAUCAGCUCCUGCUCCCUGGCCGAAGCCCGGCUGCUGCUGGACAACUUCCUGAAGGCCUCCAUCGACAAGGGGCUGCAGGUAGCCCAGAAGGAGGCCCAGAUCCGGCUGCUGGAGGGGCGACUGCGGCAGACAGACGUGGCCAGCUCCUCACAGAACCACGCCAUCCUGGACGCCCUGCGGGAGAAGGCCGAGUCCCACCCCGAGCUGCAGGCGCUGAUCCACAACGUCCAGCAAGAGAACGGCUACACCAGCACGGAUGAGGAGGUCUCAGAGUUCAGCCUGGCUUCAGAUGGGAGCAUCUCCCAGUCUUUCACCAUGAAGGGCUCAGCAAGCCAGGAUGACUUCAAGUUCAAGGGAGAGCCCAAGCUCUCGGGGCAGAUGAAGGCGGUGUCAGCUGAGUGUCUGGGACCCACACUGGACGUCUCUACCAAGAACAUCACCAAGUCCUUGGCAUCCCUCAUGGAGAUCAAAGAGGAUGGGAUCGGCUUCUCCAUCCGAGACCCCUAUUACAAGGAGAAGGUGUCGCGCACCGUCAGCCUGCCCACGCGAGGAAGCACCUUUCCCAGGCAGUCUCGAGGCUCAGACACUUCUCCCCUGACAAGGCGGAAAUCCUACGACCGUGGGCAACCUGCCAGGCCUGCAGACAUUGGCUUCACACCUCCCUCCUCCCCUCCCACCCGCCCGCGCAACGACCGCAACGUCUUCUCCCGCCUGACGAGCACCCAGAGCCAGGGCUCUGCCUUGGAUAAGUCUGAUGACAGCGAUUCCUCUGUCUCGGAGGUGCUGAGGGGCAUCAUUAACCCAGUGGGUGGCACCAAGAAUGCCCGGACAGCCCCACUGCAGUGUGUCUCGGUGGCAGAGGGACACACCAAGCCUGUGCUCUGCCUGGAUGCCACCGACGAGCUGCUCUUCACGGGGUCCAAAGACCGGAGCUGCAAAAUGUGGAACCUGGUGACGGGCCAGGAAAUCGCCUCCCUCAAGGGUCACCCAAACAAUGUGGUUUCCAUCAAGUACUGCAGCCACACGGGGCUGGUGUUCACCGUGUCCACGUCGUACAUCAAAGUGUGGGACAUCCGCGACUCCGCCCGCUGCAUCCGCACCCUCACAUCUUCUGGACAGGUGAUCUCUGGGGACGCCUGUGCUGGGACCACCACCCGCACGGUCACCAGCGUGCAGGGGGAGCACCAGAUCAACCAGAUCGCCCUCAACCCCACGGGCACCACGCUCUACGCCGCCGCCGGGAACGCCGUCCGCAUCUGGGAGCUGAGCAGGUUGCAGCCUGUGGGAAAGCUGAGCGGCCACAUCGGGCCCGUGAUGUGUCUCACAGUGAACCAGACAGCGAGCAACCACGACCUGGUGGUCACGGGUUCCAAAGAUCACUACGUCAAGGUGUUUGAGAUCACAGAGGGCAUGGUGGGCAACAUUGGCCCAACUCACAACUUUGAGCCCCCUCACUACGAUGGCAUCGAGUGCCUGGCCAUCCAGGGAGAUGUCCUCUUCAGCGGCUCCAGGGACAACGGCAUUAAGAAGUGGGAUCUGGAGCAGCAGGAACUUACCCAGCAAAUCCCCAAUGCCCACAAAGACUGGGUCUGUGCCCUGGCCUUCAUCCCCGGCCGCCCCAUGGUGCUGAGCGCCUGCCGAGGAGGUGUCAUCAAAGUCUGGAACGUGGACACCUUCACCCCAGUCGGGGAGAUCAAGGGGCACGACAGCCCCAUCAACGCCAUCUGCACCAACUCAAAGCACAUCUUCACUGCCUCCAGCGACUGCCGGGUAAAGUUAUGGAAUUACGUGCCUGGGCUCACCCCUUGCCUUCCACGACGCGUCCUUGCCAUAAAGGGCCGUGCUACUAGUCUGCCUUGACCCUCCUGCUCUUUGACUCUCUUGCUCAUGUGCUCUUCUUCUGUCUCUCCUUCCCUUUUCUCUCCAUCUCUCCCUCCCUCUGUCCCUCUCACUGUCGGUUUUGCUCUUCUCUCUCUUUUUUCCCCUCUUUCUCUCUGGUCUGAGCUGCUUCUUCACGCGACUUGACAGUGAAGCUCUGGAGUGGGAGGAGGUUGCCCGCGGGGUCAAACUAGGAACUGCAGAAAGACUGGAAGGCUUGGGAGCAGGGUGAAGGUCAGGGUGCCUCCCCCUGCUAUUAGGACUCGCUCAUCUACAGGAGCACUCAGCCCAGCACAGGGAUUUCUUUGUGCCUGACCCAACGGGGUGGAGGAUGCCUCAUGUGAUACUUUGAGCACUGCCAGCUCCUGUGGGGCACUGGCAGCUCUGUGGGGCACUGACAGCUCCACCUUCCCUCCUGCUGAGGUUUCUCGAUGGCUCUCCGGUGACCAGGAAAUAUUUCAUCUCUCCUCUCACCCAUCCUGCUGUAAGGACUUCUGGGGGUCAGAGCUCCUUGGCUCCUUCUUGGAGAUACCCAGUUCCCUCCUGCCACUGUGGGCUUGUGUGGCCUCUGCUGUGAUGUGCUGCUCUGGGGCUGGUUCCUGCAGGAGUCCUUCUCCACAACCACGAGGACAUUUGGUGUCUGCUGGCCAGGACACAAGUACAGAGGGUGCUUCUCUGGAGCCAUUACUCGUGGGACACCUCUCUGCUGUGGGGGCUGCAGAAGGAUUUCCUGGUACUCCUAUUCUUCCCCAUCCUCUGUCUACCUGUCCCCUGCAGUUGGAGGUGGGCACCUCUGAGCUCCUUUGCCAUGUCCCAUCUUGGGAGACACAGCAAGCCUGGAAAGAUCUCUGUCAGGCAACUUCCAGACAAACCUGCUGCAGUUCCCUUCGAAGUUCUUCAAACCCCAGCUGUAACCACAACUGCCCCAUGGCUCUGGGCUCUUCCCCACGUGCCCACCCUGCUCUGCAGCGGGGAGGGAUGGGCUGCUUAGCCCUGUUCUGGACACUGUGACCCCCAGCACGGGUUUGUGGUGUGUUCCUGCAGCGCAUUAACUCCCUCGAGGUGGAGAAAUGAAGCAAGAAUGGAGGUUACAGGGCAAAACAGCCAAGGCUGGAUUUGUCAGCCCCACUGCCGUGGCAUAUCUGUCCUUCCCCUGGGCUCUGCCCUCGGCCCUCUGCCUGGGUUGGAGCUAGCUUAGGUUGGGCCUGCUGGUCUCCAUGGAUCUGGGGAUGGAGAGGGCCCAGCAAGGCCUGGAGCAGCUGGAGUCUGCUGUGCCAGGAGGAGAGUAAGGAGGGGGUUGCACACACUGGUCUCGCACAAGUCCCCUGACUCUCCCUGCGCUCGAAGGACAAUCCUGCAGCAGAUGCACAAUCCCAUCUCCGUCCAGGAGUGUUUCCCCAAGGAUGCACCUUCUCCAGCCUCCUUCCUCUCUCUCUCCUGUUCCAGGGGCUGGCAAGGCCCUGGUCUCACACUGGAGCUUCCCUCCAUUUCUCCUUUGGCCUGUUGGACCAUCCCCUGCUCUGUCCUGCCCUGGGCCACACAGAGCUCUCAUGGGGUGGCUGAGGAGGCUCCAGGAUGGGUGCUGCCUCACAUGCUCUCCUUUCCCCUUUGUCACAGAAGCAGCAGCACUUGAACUCAAAUUUAAGGAUUUCUCCAUGUGAUCCCACCAGCACUGAACUGGGAUCUUGGAGGCCAAGGGUUCCAGGACCUGCCCUAUAAAGCACAGACCAUUUCCCCUCUGCUCUCUCCAACCAUGGUGACACCUGGACCAACCCCAGGUCAUUUGCUAUCAGCCCUUGUUUUACAUAUUCUGGCUGGAGAAUGGGGAUUCCUCUGCAUCGUGAAAGACAGGAGCAUCUCUGUUGAAUUGAUGGGGUGGGGGGGUUGCCUUUUGGGGGGAAAAUUCCAUCCUACUGACUUGCCUUGUUGGAGGGCGUAUGGCAUGUGUGUGUGUGACCCUGCCCAGGACAGUCACUGGUCCCCUGUGAUUGUGGCUGAGCCCUGCAUAGCCAGGACUGAUGAGUGUAUUGAGGUGAGGAGCCCACCCAUCCCGUGGGACCUGUGGAAGUGGGGGCACAGCCAGAAAUGUCCAGGGCACCUCAGCCACCCAGGAACGCACAGACAUGGGGGUCUGGAGGAUGUGUCACCCCCCCAAGCCUGUCUUGGGGAGGGUUUCCCUGCUCAUUCCUCAGCUGGUUUAACCUUUGCUUGGCCAGAGGGGGUGUGUGUGUGUAUGGUGGGGUGUGUUUGGCUGUAGCCAGCUGUCACAUGUGCAUCGAUGUCUGCACUGAGAUCUGCCAGUGCCUGCCUUGAAAUCUCCUGCUGCUCCUGCUGGAGGGGAGCUCUGGGGGGCCUGGGGUCGGACCUGCCUUGCUUUUCACCACCAGUUUCUUCCCGUGUGCAGGCUACAGGUGCCUGUUUAAUACUCCAGGGCUGAGUGGCCAGUCCUGGAUGUGCUGAGCAUCCCUUGCAGCUACUGUCCAGCAGUGUGUUGAGGGGCUUCAAGGCUCUUGCUGCCUGUGGAGGGAGGGAGCUCAUACUGCAGCACUGGCAUCCCAAGGGGGGGGUUCUUUGAAGUGAGGGGUGUUGUGGUUUAGGGAUGAUUUUCUCCAAUUUAGUACUCCCACUAAAACCAUGCAUGGCUCGCUCCCCCUCCCAGUCCCCUGCUGUGGACUGGAGAGGAGAACUGGAGGCACAAAAGGUAAAGAUCAUGGGUUGAGUUAACAACAAUUUACUGAAAAACAUCAAUGAGGGAAGAAAACAAACAGUAACAGCAAAAAUAUUAAUAACAAAAGUGUACCAAAGAGAGUGAUUCACAUGCAAAAUGCUCACCAUGGAGCCCCUGACCUGACCCCCAGCCAUGUUACCUUGACCAGAAGAGACCCCUUCUCCCUGGAAGAGAAGAAAUGGAUUCUGCCCCUACAUAUCUCAGUGGUAUCAGGGUACAUUGUGCACUGGGCACUAAAGCCUUAUACUCUUGUGGGUCUGAUGUGCCAUCACAUCCACACAGUCCAGUAGAUCCGACUGCCCCUUUCCUCCACCUGGCUGGAGGCAGGGCCCCUCUAGUCUUGGUCACAAAUACUCAUUGCUCACUUCUUGUAAAUAUGAACUGGAGGUCCCUUCGAGAGGAUCAGAAGGAACAUCAACCCUCCUCUUCUGUCUGCGGACUUGCCCACUGGAAAGUGGAGUGGCAUUUAUCCUUGAAGGAUUUCUGUGAUGGUUGUUCUUCCUCUCGACUCAUGUACCCCUGCUGCUGGGGCAGAGGUGGGUUUUCCAUCCCAUUUCAUGUCUUCUCUGUGGUCAUGUAGGUAAAACCACAGGUUAUCUCAUGGUGUGUCCCCCCUCUCUGGAGCAGGGGGGCACUUGCUCCCAGUAGCAGAAACUCUGAAACUUUUGCCCCAUGGAUUUUGUGCACUGGACCUCCUCUGGAUCUACAGGGGACUGCUUUUUAUUUGAAUCCCUGUAGAUUAGCUCCAGCACAGCUGCUUCUCUCAGCCACUGGAUACCUUUCUUUGUGGUGUUCCACUUGUCUCGGUGCACUGUUGGAUCACCCUUGAGAGAACACCUUUCCCUCACACUUGACAGUCACCUCCAGAGGCUGAGAGUUUCUGUCCUCUUCCCAAUCCCCUGGUCAGUGCCCACAUCCCAGCACAGGGAUCCCAGCUGCUUGACUUCACUACUCUCUAGUUUCAUGUUGUGGGCUGUGAUACCCCAGCCCUGGAGCAGCCAGGUCACCAGGGGCUCUCCUGGUGACAGCUGAAAUCUUUUCAGGUAUCUUGCAGCUCCCCGAGAUGGGGAUCGGGUGAUUAUCUCUGGCCCUGCCUCCUCCUCCUGUUCUGAGGGCCCUCCUUCUCUUCAUCCCUCACUGUGCAAACUGAUUUGGUCUUGGAUUUCUUGUUCUGUGCAGGGGUGACUGUUACCAGCAUGGAUUGUUCCUCUGGCUCAGCUGCAGUUUGAGUGGCCACGGUGCCUGUUGCUCUGUUUUCCUCCUCCUCCCCCUCUGUCUGGUGCUGUCUGGUGACAAGCAGUGUCUGACAAAAUAGCAGCCAGGGCCCAGCACACAGCAAUGAGUUGCUCCUCUCUGGAGUUGCCACAGCAUUCUCCUUGCAAAUAUUCUGUCACUUCAUCAGGGUCCUGUAGUUGUUCAGGGGUGAACUUCCAAACCAUUUGAGCAGAGAAUUUUCCCCAAAACUGUCCCAUUUUUCUCCCACUUCCAUGGCACUCGUGACUACCCCUCCUUGGGGCAGAUCUCUGAACAACCUUUGUAGAAAUCUCUUGGCUCUAAACACAGUGUAGGCUGCACUGAGGAGACCUGGCAGGCUUAGCAACAAGAACAUGCUUUCCUUAACAUCCAAAGGGAAUUCAAAAGUCUCAAAAGCUGUUGUAACAGGCCUGAAGGAGUAAAAGGGGGUGAAAGGCUGGGGAAAAUCAUCCUCCCCUGUUCCUCCCCACAGACUGGGUACUGUUAUUAAUGGACUCCCAAAGGUAAGAGUAGGAGAGUAACAUUGAAAACAUCCCAAACGACCUUCAUUGCUCUUGAUGUUAUCAUGUCACAAACUGAUAUCCCACACUACAUCAACAAAGCAAUUCUGAUCCCUCUCCCUGCUCUGAAAAAGAGCACCUUGAGGAGCACAUAGGGGAAUAUAUGCAGGGUUAGGUACCACACCCCCAUGAACAGACCAAGCAGCAUUGUGACCAAUGGCUCUGUCCCCGGUACAGCAAAUGCUUAGAUCCAAUUUGUUUCCAGCCUGUUCUGAGCAGAUCUGUUGUUAUCUCAACCCUUUGAGCCCCACCUUGGGUGCCAAAUAAAGCUGUCGUGGUUUAGGACUGGUAUUCUCCAAUUUAGUACUCCCACUAAAACCAUGCACCGCUCCAGGGUAAAGAUGAGAGGUUGAAAUAAGAACAAUUUACUCCAAACAGCAGUGAGAGAAGAAAACAAACAGUAACAGCAACAAUAUUAAUAACAGAAGUGUACAAAAGAGAGUGAUUCACAUGCAAAAUGCUCACCUAAGAGCUUAGCCUGCUACCACAGCUGGAAGAGAUGACAUUAGGUGGUAUAAAAUAACCUCAGGGUCCUGGCCAUGCCCCCUCCUGGCUACUGCGAAAAUUCACCCUGUCCUGACCAGAACAGGGGCAGGGGUGACUGUGAUCCCAUCUCUGUGUGUGUCUAUGUGUGUGUGUAUGUCUUAGUGCCUGUGUGGGGUGAUGUUUCCCAUGCAGGAGAGCGUUUCGGGGGGGUUGAUCUGGUUUAGCUACCUCACGGUGCAAGCUGGGUGCUGUCAUCGUUGGGUUUCGUACUGGGGAUGGGGUGGGGAGGUUUUUUUUCCUCUUAAUUAUUGUUAUUGUUAUGGUUUUGACACUUGAAUUCAUCCUGGGGACACGUGGCCUCACUCCCACCUUCCUGCAUGUCUGAGCCGCCCCCUGUGUCCCCCUACCUGCCUCCUCCUGGGCAGGGCAGCAGGACCAGUGUCCUGCUCCCCUGCACUGCCAGCUCCCACCUUUGGCAGUGGGAUUCCUGCUCCCCUGCUCUGCCAAGCUCCCACCUUGGCAGUGGGAUUCCUGCUCCCCUGCACUGCCAAGCUCCUACCUUUGGCAGUGGGAUUCCUGCUCCCCUGCUCUGCCAGCUCCCACCUUGGCAGUGGGAUUCCUGCUCCCCUGCUCUGCCAGCUCCCACCUUUGGCAGUGGGAUUCCUGCUCCCCUGCACUGCCAAGCUCCCACCUUGGCAGUGGGAUUCCUGCUCCCCUGCUCUGCCAGCUCCUACCUCUGGCAGUGGGAUUCCCCAGCCCAGUUGCAACACUGAGAUUUUGCUCCCAUUGCUGGUGGGAUGUUUGGACUGAGGCCUGGCAGUGUUGCUGUUUGUUAUUGGGUUGAUUGGCAGCCUAGGAGUGGUCCAUCUUGCCCUUGGAAGGAUGGAAAGGAACCUCUGGAAGGUUUGGCUCAGCCCACAUUCCUGCCUCUGCUCUCAUGGAUAUUCUCUGUGGAUUCAGGGAAGUCCUUGUCUGGGAAAUGUCUGUGCAAAGCACAUUGCUGGAAUGGGCUGGUCCUAGCCCCCAUUUUCCAGAGCCUGCUGCAGCUGUAUGGCAGCAGGAACUGGGUGCUGUUAAAACCCUUGCUCAAGCUGGGAGUGGUCUGUGAGAAGCUGAUUCUGGUGUGUGAUGUUUGACUUUCCACUCCCAAAACGUAGUUGAGUCUAGAUCCAGUUCCAGGCACUGAACAUAAACGAGGAUAGCCCUGGAGCCCCCAGCUUGCCUCCUGCUCUGGGCUGGACCCCGUUCCCCUGGCACAGUGAGGUUUGGGAAGCUCUGAGCCACACUGUCAGUUUGGGGGGCAGGUCUGCCCAAACACUAAAGCACAAGGUCCCCACAUGUAGGUGGUUAGGAGGGGUGGCCCCUUGGACUCUGGCCCUUCAGAGCUCAGAUUUGGGCCAUGGGCUGGGGCAGCUGAGGAGAAGGUGGGCUGGAAUGAGGGCUCUUUGCCUGCCAAUGGCCACGGGUGAGCUGUUCCAUCCCUUUGCUGGCUGCUCUCUGGGGCUCAGGGCUUGCCCUGCUGCACAACUGAAGUCCCCUCUGGUGGUCCCUGAGCCUCUCUGACAGCCCCUUCAGGGCAGGGACAUUUUGGAGCUGCCUUCGCACCAUGCACCUCGUUCUCUUCACCCUUGGGUGCCUUGGUUUGUGCCAAGCGUGUGAUCAUACCUGCAGUCCUUCCUCAAAUUUCUGGGUUAUGGUUUUGUCCCCAGGGCCUGACUCUUGCACCAGGGGUCUCCUCACCCCCAGCACACAGGGGUCGGCUCCAGGCUCUGGGGGGGAUGCAGGGCUGCCCCAGAGCUGAGCUUUGCACAACAGGGGUGGACAAGACUCAGAAGCCCAAAAGCACUGGAUCCCCAAAACACUGUGAGUCCCCGUGGGAGCCUGAGCACUGUCUCCUUUCUGGCUCCUACAGCCCCCAUGGCACAGGAUGGGCUGGCCAGCUGUGACAGGAGCUCUGGGGUCCCAUCCUGUCUCCCCCAGGUACAUUGUUUCUCCCCACCAUCUCUGAGCACAGCUGCUUUGGGGUCUCAGAUGCUGCCUCCUGCCUUGGUGCUGCCAAACCAGUGCCUGCCUCCCAGGGUGCUCUCCCAGUGCCCCAUCCCAGUCCUUCCCCUGCCCCACGCUGAACAGGGUCCAGGUACGAUCCCUGUGGAGCACAGGGUUCCAACUUGCUUUUCAGCAGCUCACUGGAACUUCACUGUCCUGCAGGCUGCACGCCCUCCUGAGCCCCCCUUCACCCUCCUGGGGAGGGAAGGGAACCCCCGGCCCCUCCAGGUGCUGCAUGGUGCUCACCUGUAACUGAGAGGGAGCCCAGCACAGACCCGAACCCCCAGGAAAGUACAGCCCUCUGCCUUCCUCCUGCCCCGGGGCGUGUGCCCUCAUCCAUCACAGCUCUGCCCUGGUCCCUGCCAACUGCUCCACCUGGCCUGGGACCCCCCCAUCCAGCCCCACACGGGGCUGGGGAGCUGCAGCACCGUGUCGCCUGCUCCGCCACCCCUUCCUGCUGCACAAGGAGCACAAUAGCAGAUGCCUUUUCUCACUCAGAGCUGUUUCCAGAGGCCAGCUGCUGUGAAGGCUGGUGGUGUCUCUGGGGGGUUGUGCAGCCCAGCCCCGGUCUGGGUCUGUCAGAGCACGAGGUGUGUGCGUGUGUUUUAUACCUUGGUGUGUUCCUGUAAAUAGUGUAAGUUAUUGCGGUCUCCUGCUGUACGUUUUUCAAUGGCUGUGUUUGUUCUUUGCCUUUUUGUCUUUGCAAAUAAAAUGUUCUGAGAUGAA